rnacentral:rRNA from 1 species
CCGCAAUGGGCGAAAGCCUGACGGAGCAAGACCGCGUGAGGGAGGAAGGCUCUUGGGUUGUAAACCUCUUUUCUUUGGGAAGAAGAUCUGACGGUACCAAAGGAAUCAGCAUCGGCUAACUCCGUGCCAGCAGCCGCGGUAAUACGGAGGAUGCAAGCGUUAUCCGGAAUCAUUGGGCGUAAAGCGUCCGCAGGUGGCAAUUCAAGUCUGCGGUCAAAGACAGUGGCUCAACUACUGAAAGGCCGUGGAAACUGAACAGCUAGAGACAGGUAGGGGUAGAGGGAAUUCCCGGUGUAGCGGUGAAAUGCGUAGAGAUCGGGAAGAACACCAGUGGCGAAAGCGCUCUGCUGGACCUUGUCUGACACUGAGGGACGAAAGCUAGGGGAGCGAAUGGGAUUAGAUACCCCAGUAGUCCUAGCCGUAAACGAUGGAGACUAGGUGUUGUGAGUAUCGACCCUCACAGUGCCGUAGCUAACGCGUUAAGUCUCCCGCCUGGGGAGUACGCACGCAAGUGUGAAACUCAAAGGAAUUGACGGGGGCCCGCACAAGCGGUGGAGUAUGUGGUUUAAUUCGACAACAAACCUUACCAGGGCUUGACAUGUCCGGAAUCUCCUUGAAGAGGCCUUCGGGAACCGGAACACAGGUGGUGCAUGGCUGUCGUCAGCUCGUGUCGUGAGAUGUUGGGUUAAGUCCCGCAACGAGCGCAACCCUCGUUUCUAGUUGCCAGCAUUAAGUUGGGCACUCUGGAGAGACUGCCGGUGACAAACCGGAGGAAGGUGGGGAUGACGUCAAGUCAGCAUGCCCCUUACGUCCUGGGCUACACACGUACUACAAUGCUUUAGACAGAGGGCAGCCAAGCCGCAAGGCCGAGCAAAUCCCACAAACUAAGGCACAGUUCAGAUUGCUCUCUGCAACUCGAGAGCAUGAAGGCGGAAUCGCUAGUAAUCGCCGGUCAGCAUACGGCGGUGAAUACGUUCCCGGGCCUUG